CUGGCCUUGACAUGUCCGGAAUCCAGCAGAGAUGCAGGAGUGCCUUCGGGAAUCGGAACACAGGUGCUGCAUGGCUGUCGUCAGCUCGUGUCGUGAGAUGUUGGGUUAAGUCCCGCAACGAGCGCAACCCUUGUCCUUAGUUGCCAGCGAGUAAUGUCGGGAACUCUAAGGAGACUGCCGGUGACAAACCGGAGGAAGGUGGGGAUGACGUCAAGUCCUCAUGGCCCUUACGCGCUGGGCUACACACGUGCUACAAUGGUGGUGACAAUGGGUCGCAAGCGUGCGAACGCAAGCUAAUCUCCAAAAGCCAUCUCAGUUCGGAUUGCACUCUGCAACUCGAGUGCAUGAAGUCGGAAUCGCUAGUAAUCGUGGAUCAGCAUGCCACGGUGAAUACGUUCCC
rnacentral:rRNA from 1 species